rnacentral:rRNA from 1 species
AUUGAACGCUGGCGGCAGGCCUAACACAUGCAAGUCGAGCGGAUGAAGGGUGCUUGCUCCUUGAUUCAGCGGCCGACGGGCGAGUAGUGGAUAGGAAUAUGCCAGGUUGUUGGUUCUAACGUCCGGACACGGGCGCUAAUACCGUAAUCGUCCUGAGGGCGUACGUGGGGGAUCUUCGGAUCUUCCGAUCUCAGAUGAGUCUAGGUCGGAUUAGCUAGUUGGUGGGGUAACGGCCUACCAAGGCGACGAUCCGUAGCUGGUCUGAGAGGAUGAUCAGCCACACUGGAACUGAGACACGGUCCAGACUCCUACGGGAGGCAGCAGUGGGGAAUAUUGGACAAUGGGCGAAAGCCUGAUCCAGCCAUGCCGCGUGUGUGAAGAAGGUCUUCGGAUUGUAAAGCACUUUAGUUUGGGAGGAAGGGCAGUAAGUUAAUACCUUGCUGUUUUGACGGUACCAACAGAAUAAGCACCGGCUAACUUCGUG